AUUCAAAUGCCAAACCUAUCAGAAUUCAAAUCUCUUGUUCAUGUGUCGUUAUUAUCCAUGUCAUCUUAUAAACAAAUGCUAACUUGCUGCUUUUUAGGUAUGUUGACUGUGGCUGAUGGCAGCUGAAGACCAACAACAUCUGGAAGACCACCACUUUUCCCAUAUGGUAAUCACUGUUUAACUUCUAUACCUACAUAAUGAGGGAAAGUCUUCUUAGAAAUGAACUGCAUGUGUAAUUAAAGUGUUUUGAAGGCAUGGAAUACAAUGGUGUAAACCAUACAAACUUUCUUGGCACCAAAUAAAUGCCUAGUAUUCA